rnacentral:lncRNA from 1 species
ACAGUGAACUCCGCAUCGACUCACGCGUUCACCUCCUUCCGGUCUAAAUGUUCUGUUCGGUUCUAUUUUGGUGGGGCCCACGCGUCAUCACAGAGUAUCUGGGAGCCCUGCCCUCUUGCAGAUGGGAAUGAAGGCCCAGGUGCUCUGGAGAGGUGACUCUCCUCUAGAAAGGAAACACUGGUUCUGUAAACCUGUUUGAGAAGAAAAGCUCGAGGUUUCUUGGCCUCUCUGCUUCUGGAGCCAGGGGAAAAAAUAGCCCCAGGCUGAAGACAGGAGGGACCAGAUUGCUGCUUGGUGAUGCGAUCUCACUGCAGAGGCAGCCAGGAGACCCUCCUGAGACGAAUCGGAGAGUCCAUGCUGCUUUUACACACAUCCUAGUUCUUUUAUAACUAGCCUUUUCCUAUUAACGGACAUCAUUCAAAAGCCAGUUUUAAGCAACAUAAAUAUUGAAAACAAUACUAUACUAUUUAGAAUUAAUUAUAAGUUUUGUUUUUAAAGCCUAAAUCUUUUAUUGUUGUUUGAACCCUGGGCACUGAAGCUAAUAAUGUAACUUUUCUCCCUUCUUUCUUCUUUGGCAUAGAUUUAAAGAACUGUUAGACUCAUUUAAAAUGCUAUUAGGCAUUUUAAAGAGUAAUUGUUAAAUGUGUUGUCUCUUGUGGGACUGGAAAUGUUCUGUUCUUAUCUGGCGCUGGUUACAUCCUGUUUUUCAUUUGGGAAAGUGCAUUGAGCUGGAAAUUUAUAUGUUCAAUUUCUGUAUGUAAAUUGUACUUCAGUAAAAAUUUUCAAAAAA